rnacentral:rRNA from 1 species
UACGUAGGGUGCAAGCGUUAAUCGGAAUUACUGGGCGUAAAGCGUGCGCAGGCGGUUAUGUAAGACAGGUGUGAAAUCCCCGGGCUUAACCUGGGAACUGCAUUUGUGACUGCAUAGCUAGAGUACGGUAGAGGGGGAUGGAAUUCCGCGUGUAGCAGUGAAAUGCGUAGAGAUGCGGAGGAACACCGAUGGCGAAGGCAGCCCCCCUGGGCUGACACUGACGCUCAGGCACGAAAGCGUGGGGAGCAAACAGG